UACAGAGGGUGCAAGCGUUAUUCGGAAUUACUGGGCGUAAAGCGCGCGUAGGCGGUUAUUUAAGUCCGGUGUGAAAGCCCCGGGCUCAACCUGGGAAUUGCAUUCGAUACUGGAUAGCUAGAGUUCGGCAGAGGGAAGCGGAAUUUCCGGUGUAGCGGUGAAAUGCGUAGAUAUCGGAAGGAACAUCAGUGGCGAAAGCGGCUUCCUGGACCAGAACUGACGAUCAGGCUCGAAAGCGUGGGGAGCAAACAGG
rnacentral:rRNA from 1 species